rnacentral:ncRNA from 1 species
CGGUUUUCGAGAGAAAUUAAAUCGGAAGCACGGUGAAAAUCCGUCACAACCGCCAUUACCGUAAUUGAGUUUUGGAGUGCAUUUGCCAUUGCGAAAGUGAGAAGGCGCAUUUCAUUUAUAUCUUAAGUCGGGACACCCGCCGCGAGAGCUA